rnacentral:rRNA from 1 species
GACGAACGCUGGCGGCGUGCUUAACACAUGCAAGUCGAACGGAAAGGCCCUGCUUGCAGGGUGCUCGAGUGGCGAACGGGUGAGUAACACGUGGGUGAUCUGCCCCUUACUUUGGGAUAAGCCUGGGAAACUGGGUCUAAUACUGGAUAGGACCAUGCUGUAGGUGGUGUGGUGGAAAGAUUAGUUUCGGUAAGGGAUGAGCUCGCGGCCUAUCAGCUUGUUGGUGGGGUAAUGGCCUACCAAGGCGUCGACGGGUAGCCGGCCUGAGAGGGUGGACGGCCACAUUGGGACUGAGAUACGGCGCAGACUCCUACGGGAGGCAGCAGUGGGGAAGAGUGCACAAUGGGCGCAAGCCUGAUGCAGCGACGCCGCGUGGGGGAUGACGGCCUUCGGGUUGUAAACUCCUUUCAGCCAUGACGAAGCCCUUGUGGUGACGGUAGUGGUAGAAGAAGCACCGGCUAACUACGUG